GAAAAUAAUAAUAAAACCCUGAGCGCGCCCGAUCUCGUCUGAUCUCGGAAGCUAAGCAGGGUCGGGCCUGGUUAGUACUUGGAUGGGAGACCGCCUGGGAAUACCAGGUGCUGUAAGCU
ensembl:rRNA 5S_rRNA 5S ribosomal RNA